UACGGAAGGUGCAAGCGUUGCUCGGAAUCACUGGGCGUAAAGGGUGCGUAGGCGGCCGUGCAAGUCUGGCGUGAAAGCCCCGGGCUCAGCCCGGGAAGUGCGCUCGAAACUGCGCGGCUCGAGUGCCGGAGGGGAGAGUGGAAUUCCAGGUGUAGCGGUGAAAUGCGUAGAUAUCUGGAGGAACACCGGUGGCGAAGGCGGCAUCCUGGACCGACACUGACACUGAGGAGCGAAAGCCAGGGGAGCAAACGGG
rnacentral:rRNA from 1 species